UACGUAGGGGGCAAGCGUUGUCCGGAAUCAUUGGGCGUAAAGAGCGCGUAGGCGGUCCGGUAAGUCGGUUGUGAAAACUGGGGGCUCAACCCUCAGAGGCCGACCGAUACUGCCGGGCUAGAGUCCGGAAGAGGCGAGUGGAAUUCCUGGUGUAGCGGUGAAAUGCGCAGAUAUCAGGAGGAACACCGAUUGCGAAGGCAGCUCGCUGGGACGUAACUGACGCUGAGGAGCGAAAGCGUGGGGAGCGAACAGG
rnacentral:rRNA from 1 species